AUGAUCUAUAGAGCCCUUUUGAUUUUUCUAUGGCAACAUUUGCUAUGCUGACGUCAUUGCCACGUCAUUACUGUCAGUCAGACAGAAAUAAAAGAAAAAUGGAUGCCGUUCAGACGUACACGCAUUAUUUGGAACUGAAAAUUACGUAAUUUAUCGACCUGCUGGCUUGUAUUUGUUAUAAAUCAUAAAAAAAUUAUGGAAAACAUCAUGAACAAUAAUGAAACAAACCGAACCUUUAGCUACAAUAAUAAAAUGACCCCAUGACGCCAGUGGAACUACGUGGUUUUCUUUCAUGAUGAUUUGAUGAUACCAUAAUGGAAUUAGCCAAGUUUUCGCCGUAUUGGGUGCUAGAUGCCCCUUGGAGUUAAGCCCCAGUGCCACUAUACUACCUUACCAGUUAUGUGUGGGUGUUGUAGUCCUAAGACACCCCGGAGGUACAAAGGGCCUUCACAAACUCACGCCACGCCUUCCUAUCUUCAGCAACCCUCGUGACCUCGCUCCACCAGCUCAAACCUGCCAGUCGCAGCUCAUUUUUCGACGGACCGCUUCCAUGAGUAGACAAGGCACCGACGAUCACGGCUUGCAUCACCUGUACUGCUUCGUAAUAUAGCAUGCUGAACAAUACUGCCAUUAUA
rnacentral:lncRNA from 1 species